UACGGAGGAUGCAAGCGUUGUCCGGAAUCAUUGGGCGUAAAGGGUCCUGAGGUGGUUUGCUCAGUCCACUGUGAAAGUUCAGGGCUCACCCUUGAAAAUGCGGUGGAAACUAGUAGGCUAGAGUACGGUGGGGGCAGAGGGAAUUCCCGAUGUAGCGGUGAAAUGCAUAGAUAUCGGGAAGAACACCAACGGCGAAAGCACUCCGCUGGGCCGAAACUGACACUGACAGACGAGAGCUAGGGGAGCGAAUGGG
rnacentral:rRNA from 1 species